GUAGCAAAUAAGCCAUGUACAUUUAAUGUGUUCUACUUGCUAGUAUUAACUGUAUGAUUAAUGAAUGUGUUAUUUAAUGCCCAAGUUUGUUAACUUUUAUUCUAGAAAUCAUCCUCUGAAUUUAUUAUAAAUCACAGAUUUCAUUGUGCUCUAUAUUUAGUCAUUCUCAGUUGAAUUCUAGAAUAUUCCACAGUACAGUAUAAGAAAGUAUUAGAACCAACUUGCUUGAACUAUUUUGAACCAGUGUUGUAAUUCUAUAUGUUAAUCAGUAUUUAGCAUUUCUGCUCCUUUUGAGAUGAUGAUGGUUUAACUUCAGGAAAGUGACUUUUCUGACUUCUUUUAUUAUCAUUGUGCAAUUUUUAGCAACAAAACUCACUAUAUCUUUGUCAGUUCUUCAGAUGUUACAAUACUGCCUGCUAAUUUGAAACAGAAAUAACAAUGGUAUUUUAAAAAGUCAUUGAUAUUACUGAUACUUUCCAUUAUCAUUAUAUUUUUUACUAUUAUUAUGUUCUUUUUGCCUUGUCCACCCUAGAGAAUAGGUACAAAUGAGUAGUGAGUAUCCACAAACUUACUAAGAUGGAGAGAAGGCUAGAUGGUGCAUGAAUAAUCAGCAUCUCAGCAACAGAGUUGACUGGAGCCAGUUUCUGACAUCAGAGAAUCUCUUUGCUGUAAUCAUUUUAGCCUUAUCUCUUAUUUAUACCAUUUUUAUGGGAAGAGUUGUUAGUGCAUAUAAGCAUUUAGUUUGAAUUAUUUAACUUAAAGAAUUUAUAUUGCGGUUUCUCUUCAGUUGGUCAGAUGCCUUUUAUAAAUAUUUUAGUUUUAAAUAUAAUUGUGUAGAGUAUGAUCAUGUGAAGUGUUAAAAAUAAUGUGGAAAACUCAGCUAUUUAAUGCAGAGGAGAAAUGAAUAGGUUGACCAAAGUUUGAAAAAACUGGCACCUUUUCUGGAAAUCUCUUAUUGCAAAGAAAAGAUACUGAGUGUAUAGAAAAUUUUGUCACCAGAGGAAAAAUAAACAAUAUAUAAGGGUGGCUUUCACUUUAACAUUUGGGAUAUUUUGGAGUUCUUGAUACCUCGAAGGUCUCCAUUUCUAUUGGUAUUUUGAAUAUCUGUAACAUGUAAUGUCGUUCUUAUAACAGUUCAACACUGAUUUUUUUGGUAUCGAUAGCUUUAUAUAUAAACAAAGAUGCGGACAAAAUAGCUUAACAGAAGUUGUGGGCUUUUUUGUGGCUUUGCCUGCCUGUUUGACCAAAUACAGGGUUUAAUUGUUUGCAGGCUGUUAACUAAAGGGAAAGCUUACCUGCGUAUUGCAAGCUAUAUAUUCUUGCCAGUAUACAUUGGAUGAUAUUUUAACCUACUGGUGCCUGAAGUUCGUGUUUUAUAACCUCAACAACUAUAAAACAUCCUGGUGCUAUUCACUUUAGCAUUGAGUGACAUUUUUAAUUCCUGUACCAAAGAGUUAAUUUUCUUUUUGGUUGACUGAGUUUUCUUCUCACAUCGUUGUGUAUUUAUAAAGUAGAAUUUAAUGUUACUAAGAACAGUUUGAUUAACAGAUCUUAUUUUUUGCAUGCUGCUCUGGCAAUUUAAUGGAUUUUAAAUGUUUCUCAUUUGGAUUUUUUUUUAGGUAGGCAUGUAUGGAUUUUAAUUUUGUAUUUUAAUAUAGCUUGGCUACUUUAAAAGGUAGUUUGAUAGGCUGAAAUUACAAAAGAUAAUUGAAGCACUUUUCACAAGUUGUUUUAUUUCUGCAACAAUGAAUAAAAAGGUAAGAACUCUAAUUUAUAUAAAUGAACUAUAUAGCUUAUUGGGCACUUUAGUGAAUACUGAAACAAAAUACUAAGAUGAAGAGUUAAGGUUCGUUCUCAUUACAAAUCGAGUUCAGCGUGUGUGUGUGUGUGUGUGUGUGUGUGUGUGUGUGUGUAAUCUUUAGUGGCUUUAAAGAAUAAUAUUGCCAUUUGUCUACUUUGCAAAUAAAGAUAACAGAACACCUUUAAAAUAUAUGUAUGUGUACAUAUGUGUGUGUAGAUAUAUAGAGAGAGAGAUACGGAGAGACAGACAGACAGAGAGAGAGACAGAGAGAGAGAUGCUUUCCCAAGAGGAAAUGCAUAUGUACCUUGAUUUAAGCAAAACUGAUAACAGAAAAUUGAACUUAAUGAAAGAAAAAAGUCUGGAUAUGGUUACUCACUUUACAUAGAGUAAGAUUUUUAAAACUAAUUUUGCUUAGUAGUUAAUUUUACAAAAAUGAAGAGAAACACCCUUUAAGUGUACUCGUAAUUUAAAACACCUUUGAAAUGUAAUUGUCCAAAUGUAAUGCUGCUAUGUAUAUUAUUUGGGUUCCAGAUUUUUCCCUUUAAAAUUCUCAAAACACUCAGUGUCCUUACAACUGCAGCUAAAAUGGUUAAUCAUUCUGGCAAGAAGGUGACAGUGUGUAUAUUGGAAAGGCAGACAUUCACAUUUGAAAAUAUUUUGCAUUAUUGUUAGCUAAAAUCAACCUCUCCUUGAAUGUAGAUACAAUAUAUGGUUUUGCAGUCAAUUCUGAAUGGAAAAAAAGAAUCAAGUCUGAAAUUUAUGUGAAAUGUGGCUUCAGAUCAUUUGAACGAUAUGUAGAAAUCUAGAUGAACAUAUCAUUAGAGGUGAAAGCAAAAUUUGAAAGCCUAAUGAGAUGAAGCAACAUUAUCUCUCUCUAAUCUGCCAACAAUAUUCCCUAGAUUGUGUUGCCACUGUAUUGAUUCUGAGUAAUUUGGCUUGUUUAUGCGUGAUUUAAAUGCAUGUGGCUGAAUGCAGUAAUUUUUCAAGUUAUUGAGUAGUAGAGAAUUCACCACUAUUCACUGUCUCCCAGAGAUGAACAUAUAAAAGAAAAAAAAUUCUACUUCAUAUAUGUAAGAAUAAAGCAACUAAAUGAUACAAAAGUAAAAACUUCCACCAGAAUCAGAGAUAUUCCGACAAGUGAAUUGUGAGUCUAACACGGGAGGACAAAGCUAGGCUCUUGCAAGGACAGAGCACACGUGGAUCAUGCUGUAUGAGCUCACUUUGUGUCCCUGGAAUUAGUGUUUUUUUGUGUGUGAUCUAACUGGCAAGUUUAAUGAAUAGCCAAAAUCUAUGUUAUUCUUGAGGCUCCUAAAAUUAUGUGUGAACCCCAAGUUCUGUCUAGUAUUAUAUCCCUAAAAUGCUUUUAAUAGUGGUAUGUUACAAGUGGCAUAAGAAGAUCCUGUUUUUAAAUUUGUCAGGCAUUUUAUUAUUCAGUACAUAAUAUGUAUAGAUCUGAGUGCUGUUUUCCUUGCAUUGUCUAUUAUUUUUACCUUGUCUUUCCCCUAAGAGAAUUUGAAGAAAAUCUUCACCAAUAUUUCUAGUGUUGAUGGUAAUUAGGAAAAUAGUAGUUGAGAGAUGUAAGAAUAGUUUGAGAAGAGUGAGUAAAAUGGGUGAAAUGACAAGUGGGAACCAUGUAGCUGAGAUGUAUUUGUUUAGAUGAAAAGUCUACACUGGUUCUUAAUGUGAAAAUCAAACCAUGUAUCUACCUUAAGAACAAUGUUGUUGUUUUUAAUUUAUUGUAGCGAUUUAGUUUUUUUCACGUAAUAUUUCUAUUUUCUUUGCAGAUUGUUUUUAAUUUAAAUUGUGGAAUUUUUACUUCUCAAAAUGUAUUAAGUACUGUAUUUUUUGAAAUCUUAUUUUUAAAUAAAUAUUUUUUAAAAACGU
rnacentral:lncRNA from 1 species